GGAGAACCAUAGCUCAGUGGUAGAGCAUCUACUUUGCAUGCAAAAGGUCCCGGAUUUAAUCCCCAGCAUCUCCA